rnacentral:misc_RNA from 1 species
GAUGAAGAACGUAGCGAAAUGCAAUACUUGGUGUGAAUUGCAGAAUCCCGUGAACCAUCGAGUUUUUGAACGCAAGUUGCGCCCGAAGCCGUUAGGCCGAGGGCACGCCUGCCUGGGUGUCACACAUCGUUGCCCCAAUGCCAAUCGCCUCACUUUGUAGGUAUUUGCUUGGGGUGAAUGUUGGCCUCCCGUGAGCUUUGUCUCACGGUUGGUUGAAAAUCGAGUGCAUGGUGUCGGGUGUACCAUGAUGGAUGGUGGUUGAGUGAUGAUGCUCGGUGACCCACAUGCGUCCCUUGGAUGCUCCCUAAGGAGACCUCAGGUCAGGCGGGGCUACCCACUGAGUUUAAGCAUAUCAUAAGCGGAGGA